AGAUACUUUCGACGUAUUCAUUGCGGUGAACAACGCGGUUGGGACAGCACACUCACGACGUGGGAAGGUCACAGAAAUGUUGAAAGACAUCAGAUUGGGCAUACGCUUCACCCGUGCAACUUCGUCAUGUGCUCCACGGCUUUACGGCUGUGCCACUAUGUGUGGAAACGUCGUAGCGGAUGAAUGUGAAUUAUGGAUCUCCAAGUGGCGUCGCCCGCGUCAUUUUCAAGAUUUUACCCGUUUUGAAGGUACGUAGUGAAUGUGCGAGGCAUUCACGUUCCUACUACGUGGUUAUCCAUGCGUUUCCCGUCUUCGCAGGCAAUAGGGCUGUUGAUAGGGAGAA